GCAGGUGGUGCGGAGAAGAAAGUUUAAAGAGGUGCGUGGAUAAGCUCCGUAUAUUUAUGCCCAUAAAAUUGUGGAAGAAAAUACAAUAAAUGUUUGGUAGAGGUUGUCUCUGAGUGGUAAUUAUGUUAUUUUUAUUUUUGUCUUAGAUUUUUCCACAAUGAACAUUUAUUUUCAUAAGAACAAAAAAAGACAAAAGUAAAAAUAACUAAUGCUUAUAUAACAUUUACUCUGCGCCAGGUGUUGCAAAAUCCUUUUGUUGUUGGCUGCAGCGUGCAGCGGCUUGAUGUGGGAUCUCAGUUCGCAGACCAGUAGCAGUGAAGCUCUGAGUCCUGACUGCUGUACCACCAGGGAACUCCCGAUAUAUUAACUGAUUUAAUUCUCACGCAGUCCUAGCAGAAAGUAUCAGUACUCUCAUCAUUUUAUAGAUGAAGAAAGUGAGGCACAGAAAGGUUCCCAAGGUCCCAGAGCCAGUUAAUUACAGAGCCAAGAUGAUAACUGAGACCAUGGCUCCAGAGUCCUUAGGAAAGUAGGUCUCACAGCUUAUCAGGAACUUUUCCUCUCUUUUCUCCUUGUGGAAAAACAGAUUCUUAAAGUUCCCUAAACACCACCUCCUACAUGAAGUCUUCCUGGUCUACCCAUCUUCCUUCAUAGCUGUUAGCUCCUUCCAUGUCAGUACUUCCUUUUUGCAACUGAGUUGCAGUUUGUGCCACACAAGUAGGUUAAGUUGAUUUUGUGUGUGUGUGUGCCAUUUUAACUAUUUUUAAGCAUGCAGUUCAUUGUCAUUAACUACAUUCACAAUGUUGCGCAACCAUCACUGCUGUAUGUUUCCAAAACUUUUUCAUGAGUGCAAGCAGAAACCCUGUUAACUAUUAAGCAAUAACUCCCCAUUCUUCUUUCUCCCCAUUCCUUGGUAACCCCUAACUUACUUUCCGUCUCUAUGGAUUUGCCUGUUCUAGAUAUUUCAUGUCAGCUGAAUUUUACAGUAUAUGUCCUUUUGUGUCUGGCUUAUACUUAGCAUAGUGUUUUCAAAGUUCAUCCAUGUUGUAUGUGUCAGAAAUUCAUUAUGGCUGAUUAAUGUUCUGUUGCAUGGAUAUACCACAUUUUGUUUAUCCAUUCAUCCGUCAAUAAACACUUGGGGAGUUCCCGUUGCAGCUCAGCGAUAAUGAACCCAACUAGUAUCCACGAGGAUCAGGGUUCAAUCCCUGGCCCCGCUCAGUGGGUUAAGGAUCUGGUGUUGCCGAGAGUUUCAGUAUAGGUUGAAGACGUGGCUCAGAGCCUGAGACAUGGGUCAGAUGCUGUGGCUGUGACCUGCAUCUGCAGCUCCAAUUCGACCCUUAGCCUGGGAACUUCCAUAUACUGCAGGUGCAGCCCUAAAAAGGAACAAAAGACCAACAAGAAAAACCACUUGGGUUGUUUCUACCUUUUGGCUAAUGUAGAUAAUGCUGUAAAGAACACUGGCAUUUAGUGAUCUAUUUUGAGUUCCUCUUUUUUGUUUGUUUGUUUUUGUUUUUUGUCUUUUUGCCUUUUCUAUAGGGCUGUUCCCGCGGCAUAUGGAGGUUCCCAGGCUGGUGGCUACAGCUCCCACUCGAUCCCUAGCUUGGGAACCUCCAUAUGCCGCGGGAGCAGCCCAAGAAAUAGCAAAAAGACAAAAAAAAAAAAAAACCAAAAAAGACCUUGGUGCUGACUGUUGCUGCAGCCUAAAUGCAGCCCUCCUCUCAAUCCUCGACUGGCUCUUUCCCAUCCUCAGGUUUCAGUUCAAUUCUUUUAAUUUUUUAUCAAUUUGUUUCUUUUAUUUAUUUUUUGCUUUUUUGAGGGGCACCUGCAGCAUAUGGAAGUUUCCAGGCAAGGGGUCCAUUCGGAGCUGCAGCUGCUGGCCUACACCACAACAGCAGCAAUGCCAGAUCCUUAACCACUGAAAGAGGCCAGGGAUCGCACCCAAUCCUCAUGGAUAUCAGUUGGGUUCGUAACCCGCUGAGCCACAACGAGAACUCUCAGAUUUCAAUUCAAAUGACACCUCUGGGAGUUCUCUUAUGGUGCAGUGGGUUAGUUAAGGAUCCAGGGUUGUCAGUGCUGCCACUCGGAUCACUGAUGUGGCUUGGAUUCGAUCCCUGGCCCAAGAACUUCCACAUGCCCUGAGCACAGCCAAAACAAAGAAAUGCACUUCUUCAGUGAGUCCUUUCACCACCCUCUAAACCAGUAGCGCUGAUCCUACAGUCACUCUCUAUGUCAUCCCUCUUUUAUUUUCCUUGUAGCACUUAGCACUCUUUGAGAUAGUUUUCUUUACUUGGUGAACUUGUUCAGAGACUGUUUUACUAGAUAUGAGCUCCAGAAGUGUGCACGCCCUGUCUAUCCUGUUUGCUGCUCUGUGCAAACAGUAGUGCUUAGUACACAGUAGGCCUUCAGCAAUUACUAGAUAAAUGAGUGAAUGAAUGCCCGUAUGCAUUUUUUUUUUUUGUCUUUUCUUUUCUUUUUUUUUUGCUAUUUCUUGGGCCGCUCCCGCAGCAUAUGGAGGUUCCCAGGCUAGGGGUUGAAUCGGAGCUGUAGCCACCGGCCUACGCCAAAGCCACAGCAGCUCAGGAUCCGAGCCGCAUCUGCAACCUACACCACAGCUCACGGCAACGCUGGAUUGUUAACCCACUGAGCAAGGGCAGGGACCGAAUCCGAAACCUCAUGGUUCCUAGUCGGAUUCGUUAACCACUGCGCCACGACGGGAACUCCCCCGUAUGCAUUUUUGAAUCAUUUUCGGAUGUCUGUCAAGUCUGUAUGUUAAUGUGUGCUCAACUCAAAUAGGCCUUAUGUCAACUCUGGCUCCCUCCACUCUUCCCUGAGCUCUGGAGGGCAGGAACCAUGUCCAAUCCAUCAUUGCACCUUGGAGCAGUUCUGCAAGUGCACUGCCUACAGUGAAGGGCCAGAAUUUUAAAUUUCCAGUCCACUGCAGACUGGUACUUUUGAAAAAUACAGUAACAAUGUUAGGGAAAUGUCAGCUUGCUAGAAAACUUUUUGAAAGCUUAUUCUCGAUUUCUGUGCUUAUAGUGUCCUGAGCAGGUGAUGAACAGUUUACAGUUUGAGUCACACUGCCUUAGAGGUCCGCACAAUACAUGGUAGGUAGAUGUCAGUGUUUAGAACACUGACUUUUUCUUUCUUCCUCCCUCUCUUUCUUUUCUUCCUUCCCUUCCUUCCUUUCUUCUUUCACCACCCCACAACACAUGGAGUUCCCAAGCCAGGGAUCAGAUCUGAGCUGCAGUUGCAACCCAGGCCACAGCUUCGGCAAUGCAGGCUCCUUUAACCCACUGUGCCAGGGUGAGGAUCAAACCUGCAUUCCAGGGCUACAGAGAUGCUGCCCAUCCUGUUGCACCAUAGCAGGAACUCCUGCCUUGACCUCUUAGAAAACCAAGACAUCAUCUACAUGGGAUUAAAGACAAAGAAGGAGGGGAACAGGGGAACAGACUUCGUUUAUUGCAAAACAUCUAGUAAAUGCCAACUGUUAGAUUGAUGCUGUCCACUGGAAAUUUUUUUUUUUAAGGCCGCACCUGCUGCAUAUGAAGUUCCCAGGCUAGGGGCCCAAUCGGAGCUGUAGCUUCCGGCCUUUGCCACAGCCAUAGCAACUUGGGAUCUGAGCCACAAUGCAACUUACACCACAGCUCACGGCAACGCCAGAUCUUUAAUUCAUGGAGCAAGGCCGGGGAUCGAACCCACAUCCUCAUGGAUACUAGUCCAGUUCAUUACCGCUGAGCCACAACAGAACUCCUGCAACUUUUUGCGGCAAUGUAGAUGUUUUAUAACUGUGCUAUCCAAUAUGAUGGCCACUAGCCACAUGUGUCUGUUGAACACUUGUAAUGUGGCAAGUCAAGGAAUCAAAUUUUCUGUUUUUAUUUUAGUUAAUUUAAAUAGCCACAUAUAACUAUUAGCAAACACUUUUUUUUUUCUUUUUUGUAUGUACCUGCUGCAUGUGAAAGUUCCCAGACCAGGGAUCGAACCCACGUCACAGUUGCAGCCUUUGCCACAGCUAUGGCAAUGCCAGACCCUUAACCUACAAGGGAACUUCCUAAUGGCAAAUACUUUUGAUAGUGCAGUUAUAACAAGUUAUAUCUUUGAAAACAAAAUGCCUCCAUCUUUAGCACCUGAUAUCCAAUCAGUUUCCAAGAUGUGUCCGCUCUUCUGCCUAAAUGUUGGUCCAGUCAGACCUUUCUCCAUCCCCCAACUCAGUGGAUAGUAAUCCUGCUCAGAGUCAUGCAUCCUUGAUUUCUCCCUCUCCUUAAAUACUCCCUCUCCCUAAAUAUUCCCUCUGCAACCUCCAAUUUAUCACCACGUCCUCUCAGUAUUAUCUCUUAAGCACCUUACAGUCCCCUCUAAUUCUCCAUCUCUACCACCACCAUUACCUCUCACCUAGACAGUAGCCCCCAAACCAGCUUCCUUGCAUCAGGUCUUGCUCACCAUUCCCAGCCCCUAGUGCUCUUCGGAAAACCCUUGAGUGGCUCCCCAUUAUUUAUUAGGAUAAAGACAAACCUCUUCCUGAGCCUACAACCCCCUCCAUAGUCCUUGGUCUGGCCCUAUUCCUACUGCUGACUAGGUCAAACCCUUCCUUCCUUCCUUCCUUCUCACUCUCUUUCUCGCUUGCUUUCUUUCUUUUUUUUUUUUUUUUUCAUUUUUUCAUAGAAGGCUGUCUUGAUCAAUGCAGUUCUUCUUUGAGCAUCAGGCAUAGUUUCUUUCUUUUUUUUUUUAGUUUUUAGGGCCGUACCUGUGGCAUAUGGAGGUUCCCAGGCUAGGGGUCAAAUCGGAGCUAGAGCUGCUGGCCUACAUCUCAGCCACAGCAAAGGCAGAACGGAACCGCAUCUGCAACCUACACCACAACUCACAGCAACGCUGGAUCCUUAACCCACUGAGCAAGGCCAGGGAUCAAACCUGCAACCUCAUGGUUAUUAGUUGGAUUCGUUUCUGCUGCACCAUGAUGGGAACUCCAGGCACAGUUUCAACUUUACUUUCAUUUGUAUUGAGUUGAUUAAUGGUCUUCCACACUCCCCCAACUAGACUACCAGCUCUGUGAGGACCAAGAAUGGGCUGGUUUUGCUCAACAUUUUAUUCCCCUGCCUCACACCUGGUGAUGAUGUUCAAUAAAUAUUUGUUAUAACGGCAGUUUAGGGAGUUCCCUGGUGGCUCAGCAGGUUAAGCCAGCAUUGUCACUGCUGUAGCUCUGGUUACUGCUGUGGUGAAGAUUUGAUCCCUGGUCCAGAAAGCUCUGCAUGCCAAGGGCGUGGCCAAAAAAAAAAAAAAAAAA
rnacentral:lncRNA from 1 species